rnacentral:rRNA from 1 species
UUUCCGUAGGUGAACCUGCGGAAGGAUCAUUACCUAGAGUUUGUAGACUUCGGUCUGCUACCUCUUACCCAUGUCUUUUGAGUACCUUCGUUUCCUCGGCGGGUCCGCCCGCCGAUUGGACAACAUUCAAACCCUUUGCAGUUGCAAUCAGCGUCUGAAAAAACAUAAUAGUUACAACUUUCAACAACGGAUCUCUUGGUUCUGGCAUCGAUGAAGAACGCAGCGAAAUGCGAUAAGUAGUGUGAACUGCAGAAUUCAGUGAAUCAUCGAAUCUUUGAACGCACAUUGCGCCCCUUGGUAUUCCAUGGGGCAUGCCUGUUCGAGCGUCAUUUGUACCUUCAAGCUCUGCUUGGUGUUGGGUGUUUGUCUCGCCUCUGCGUGUAGACUCGCCUUAAAACAAUUGGCAGCCGGCGUAUUGAUUUCGGAGCGCAGUACAUCUCGCGCUUUGCACUCAUAACGACGACGUCCAAAAGUACAUUUUUACACUCUUGACCUCGGAUCAGGUAGGGAUACCCGCUGAACUUAAGCAUAUCA